rnacentral:lncRNA from 1 species
AAAAUUUUUCUUACCAGCUGAAUAAAAAACUAGGAAAUCGUAGUAGCGAUGAUUGAACGAGAAAUUUCAACAGAGAUCAGAGUAAGGCAACAGAAAUUGAAGAUGGAAGACAAAGAAAAGGAGAAAAAAAAAGUCAGAGACAGAGAAAAUUUUGAAAAGAGAAAAAAAUAAAAUAAAAAUUAAAACAAAUUAGAUACAUCCCAACUCCCCACUAACAACUCAAUCUCAACCACCUCAGAAUUCCAACUCCAUCGAAACUCUAUCACAC